UACGUAGGGUGCGAGCGUUGUCCGGAAUCAUUGGGCGUAAAGAGCAUGUAGGUGGAUCAAUUAGUCUGCUGUGAAAGUCAAAGGCUCAACCUUUGAAAGCCGGUGGAUACUGUUGAUCUAGAGUACGGAAGAGGCGAGUGGAAUUCCUGGUGUAGCGGUGGAAUGCGCAGAUAUCAGGAGGAACACCAAUAGCGAAGGCAGCUCGCUGGGACGUUACUGACACUGAGAUGCGAAAGCGUGGGGAGCAAACAGG
rnacentral:rRNA from 1 species